rnacentral:rRNA from 1 species
AUCAGGACAACAAAGUUUUUAGGAUUGACAGAUUGAUAGCUCUUUCUUGAUUGACUUAAUGGUGGUGCAUGGCCGUUCUUAGUUGGUGGAGUGAUUUGUCUGGUUAAUUCCGUUAACGAACGAGACCUUAACCUACUAACUAGUACGACGUGACGAACGUUAGUUACUUCUUAGAGGGACAAUGUGUAUUUUUAACACAAGGAAGUUUUAAGGCAAUAACAGGUCUGUGAUGCCCUUAGAUGUCCUGAGCCGCACACGCGCUACAAUGACACUUUCAAUAAGUUUUUGCUGGUCCGACAGGAUUUCGGCUAAUCUUUUAGUAAGUGUCGUGCUAGGGAUAGAUCUUUGCAAUUGUGGAUCUUGAACGAGGAAUUCCUAGUAAGCACAAGUCAUCAGCUUGUGCUGAUUACGUCCCUGCAAAAUGUACACAUCGCCC